rnacentral:rRNA from 1 species
AGUGGCAGACGGGUGAGUAAUGUAUAGGAAUCUACCUAGUAGUACGGAAUAAUUGUUGGAAACGGCAACUAAUACCGUAUACGCCCUACGGGGGAAAAAUUUAUUGCUAUUAGAUGAGCCUAUAUUAGAUUAGUUAGUUGGUGAGGUAAAGGCUUACCAAGACAAUGAUCUAUAGCUGAUCUGAGAGGAUGAUCAGCCACACUGGAACUGAGAUACGGUCCAGACUCCUACGGGAGGCAGCAGUGGGGAAUAUUGGACAAUGGGCGAAAGCCUGAUCCAGCCAUGCCGCAUGAGUGAAGAAGGCCUUCGGGUUGUAAAGCUCUUUUAGUGAGGAAGAUAAUGACGGUACUCACAGAAGAAGUCCUGGCUAACUCCGUGCCAGCAGCCGCGGUAAUACGGAGAGGGCUAGCGUUAUUCGGAAUCAUUGGGCGUAAAGGGCGCGUANGCGGGUUAGUAAGUUAAAAGUGAAAUCCCAAGGCUCAACCUUGGAACUGCUUUUAAAACUGCUAGUCUAGAGAUUGAAAGANGAUAGAGGAAUUCCUAGUGUAGAGAUGAAAUUCGUAAAUAUUANGAGGAACACC